rnacentral:misc_RNA from 1 species
AAAAUGCUAAAAUUAAUUUAUGGGACGAUAAGACCCUAUAGAAUUUUAUAUUAAUAUUUUAAUUAUAAUUUUAUUAUUGAGUAUUAAUAUUUUGUUGGGAGGAUAGGUAAAUUUAUUAAACUUUAUUUUAAAUAUUAACUUUAAUUAAAGAAUAUAUUUUGAUCUUUUAAUAAAAAUGAAAAGAGUAAAUUACCUUAGGGAUAACAGCGUAAUAUCUUUUUAAAGAUCUUAUUGAAAAAGAUGAUUGCGACCUCGAUGUUGAAUUAAGAUAAAUUUUAAAUGAAGAAAUUUAAUAAUUAAAUGGAUUAGGAUUAAUUUCUUAUUGUUUAAUUAUUUAUUAUCAAAAGAAUUUAGCUUUUAAUUCAGGAAUAUUAACUGUAAUUUUAAAUCGGUUAGGAGAUUCAAGAUUAUUAAUAAUUAUUUCUUUUAUAAUAAUUUUUGAGAUUAAUCCAAAUCCUGGUAAAAUUAGAAUAUAUACUUCUGGGUGGCCAAAAAAUCAAAAUAAAUGUUGAUAAAGGAUUGGAUCUCCUCCUCCUAUAGGAUCAAAAAAUGAAGCUAUUAAAAUAGAAAAUAAACUUGAAAUAGAAGUUAAAUAAAUUAAAUUUAAUUUAUUUAUUGAAAUUAAUAUUUAAAUUUAUUAGAAAUAAAAUAUUUUAUAUAAAAAUUUAUUAUUUGAUUAUAGAUAUUUAUUCUAUUAGUUU